rnacentral:rRNA from 1 species
UUGAUCCUGGCUCAGGAUGAACGCUGGCGGCGUGCUUAACACAUGCAAGUCGAACGAAGCCCUCGGGCUUAGUGGCGGACGGGUGAGUAACGCGUGAGAAUCUACCUUCUAGAUGGGGACAACCGUUGGAAACGACAGCUAAUCCCCAAUAAGCCGAGAGGUGAAACGGGUAUCCGCUAGAAGAGGAGCUCGCGUCCGAUUAGUUAGUUGGUGGGGUAAAAGCCUACCAAGGCAGCGAUCGGUAGCUGGUCUGAGAGGAUGAGCAGCCACACUGGGACUGAGACACGGCCCAGACUCCUACGGGAGGCAGCAGUGGGGAAUUUUCCGCAAUGGGCGAAAGCCUGACGGAGCAACGCCGCGUGUGGGAAGAAGGCUCUUGGGCUGUCAACCACUUUUCUCAGGGAAGAAGUCCUGACGGUACCUGAGGAAUCAGCCUCGGCUAACUCCGUGCCAGCAGCCGCGGUAAUACGGAGGAGGCAAGCGUUAUCCGGAAUUAUUGGGCGUAAAGCGUCCGCAGGGGGCGCAUCAAGUCUGCUGUUAAAGGUCGGAGCUAAACUCCGGUAGAGCAGUGGAAACAGGUGCGCUAGAGGGCGACAGGGGUAGAGGGAAUUCCCAGUGUAGCGGUGAAAUGCGUAGAGAUUGGGAAGAACACCGGUGGCGAAAGCGCUCUACUGGGUCGCACCUGACCCUCAGGGACGAAAGCUAAGGUAGCGAAAGGGAUUAGAUACCCCUGUAGUCUUAGCCGUAAACGAUGGAUACUAGGCGUGGUUUGUAUCGACCCAAGCCGUGCCGAAGCUAACGCGUUAAGUAUCCCGCCUGGGGAGUACGCACGCAAGUGUGAAACUCAAAGGAAUUGACGGGGGCCCGCACAAGCGGUGGAGGAUGUGGUCUAAUUCGAUGCAACGCGAAGAA